GCAAGAAAUACUCCUUUAUUUUUCGAUAACUAAUUUGUUUUGAUUACAGGGCCUCCAGGUGUUCCCACUAGACCUCUGGGUUAGGUGGGCCUGGGACCCACGGUGGAGGGGGCGGCUGUGUUUCAGCUGCCAGGCCUUGGUGUGACGCGUGGAGCCCCUCCUCCUGGAAGCUCCCAAGUUUUCUUUUAUUAUUAUUUUUUUUUAGAUUUAUUUAUUUAUUCAUGAGACACAGAGAGAGAGAGAGAGGCAGAGACACAGGCAGAGGGAGAAGCAGGCUCCCCGCGGGGUGCCCGGUGCGGGACUCGAUCCUGGAUCCCGGGAUCACGCCCUGAGCCGAAGGCAGGCGCCCAAACGCUGAGCCACCCAGGCGCCCCGGCUCCCAGGUUUUCAAACAGGCUUUCUUUUCUUUCUUUUUUUUUUUUUUGUAUAUUUUUGUAUUGAUUUUUUUUUUUUUUAUUGGAGUUUGCUUUGCCAACAUCUAGUAUCACACGGAGGGCUCCUCCCGUCCAGUGCCCCCCGCAGUGCCCGUCCCCCGUCCCCGCCGCCCUUCCCCUUGUUCAUCUCCCAGCUUAGGAGUCUCGGGGUCUCACACAGGCUUUGGGGGGCGGGGGGCAGCGGCCGGGCUGCGAGAGGCGCGGGGACCCGGAGCUCCGCGGCCGGGGAGCAGCGCACGCGCACGCGCAGGCUGCGAGCGGCUCCCGCCGGCUCCUCCCGCGGCGGUCGGUCCGGGGACGUUCUCCCCGCCGCGGGGGCGACUGUGACCCCCGGCGGAGGCCCGGGCGGGCCGGGUCCCGAUCGGUGCUGGCGGACGUCACCCUGCCAGGUUCGGUGGUUCUGCAGACUCUAGCAUUGUAUCCUGUAAUGGGACUUCCUGUUGAGUGCUCCCCCACAUCCAACACCAAGGCCACUGAACGCCUCUUUACCAACAUGCCGGUGAGUUGUGUGGAAUUUGGACAGCCAGUGCCUUUUCUCUGCUUCUUGGGAGGCAAUUAGGGUUGGUCACUCUGUACCAGGGAGAAUUAGCCUUAGUAUUCAGACCUAGAAGUGAAGCAAGACCAUGAGAAACUGCUUCACUUCCACAGAGGGCGAUCCAAAUAAAGAUCAUCUUCCUUG
rnacentral:lncRNA from 1 species